UUUUCGUUUUUGCUGACUCAGCAGUAGAACAUGACUGGAUCUAGGCGGAUCUAGCUAGUAUGGCUAUUAUGUGCUGAUAGGGUUAGGUCCAGUAACUAUAUUAAAUAGACACCAAACACAACUAGCUGUCAACAGAUUUAGCGACAGAAACAGUGCAGAAGUAUUGUCUCGUGAAUCAGUCGCCCUCUAUAACAUAGACUCGUGAUUAGGCCGCCCAACUUUUAGAGGGCGGCUAAAUAGAGCUAGCAGAGCUACUGCUGAGUCAGCAAAAACGAAAAGCAAUUUGGCCUGGAAUAUCGAAUGUCAUUAAAAGGUCAUAAUUAGUGAAAGUUCAAGUGAUGUCCGACCUCCUCUGGUGCCGUACUAGAGGGAGGGCUAUAUAGGGAGGACACGAUUAACCUUGGCUCUAGUUCAGAGGAGGGAGCCUCCGCCAUCACAAGAUGGGGCAAAACUAGACGUCGCCAUGAGCGGAUUCUGGGGAGGUAGGCAUGAAAGAACCUUCUGUGGCGUGAGAGUGUUCAACCCACAUGCUCGCUCAAACAGAAACACUAAUCUCACCGCUUCAAUGCUAUCGGAAAUACAAAAGACUGAAGAAGAACGCCUAUAAACAAAGAGUCAGGGAGGUAGAGCAUGCCUCGUUCACACCCCUGGUUUUCUCGGCAACAGGUGGACUCGGAACUGAGGCAAUUACUUUUUAUAAGCGCCUAGUCUGUCUCCUGGCUUCCAAGAGAGACGAUCCUUAUAAUAGAACCAUAUACUGGCUGAGAUGUCGCCUCACCUUCUCCUGGUUGAGAUCUUCAAUUCGCUACAUCAGGGGAGCACGCUCGCACUCGGGAUGCUUCAUAAGAUCUCCUGUAGACCUAUUAAAUGAGUGCCGAAUGUGGCCUCAUCGGCUGUAACUAACUGGAACCUCACAAUUAGUGUGAUAAAUUUAUUUAUAAAUUAUUUUUUGUACAUGUAUGAAACUGCACUUGUGUAUAAGUUUACGAUAUAAAGGAAUUAGCCUUUACUCUCAGCAAAAA